GAGAGCAAAGAAAAGAGUAAGAAGUCCCCAUCAGAGCAUUGAAGUUAAGCGUGCUUCAGCAAGAUUAGUAUUAGGAUGGUGACCUCUUGGGAAGUUCAUGUAUUGAAUGCC
rnacentral:rRNA from 1 species